UGUCCUCCGUAGGAGGUCUAUAUUGAGCAGAUUCUUUUUGGUAUUGGGUGGUGGAACUGGAGCUUGCUCCAUCCACUCCAUGCAUUGACCUGGUAUUGCAGUGCUUCCAGGACCGGUGC
ensembl:snRNA U2 U2 spliceosomal RNA